rfam:Brassica oleracea var. oleracea cultivar TO1000 chromosome C4, whole genome shotgun sequence
GGAAUAUAAGAAACCGUCUCUUAACUUUUAACUAAAAAAAACUAAAAACUGGUUGUUAAAUAAGAUAUUUAAGAACCGAUUCUUAGUUUUUUAGUUAAAAGUUAAGAGACGGUUUCUUAUAUUCC